rnacentral:rRNA from 1 species
UACGGAGGGGCUAGCGUUGUUCGGAAUUACUGGGCGUAAAGCGCACGUAGGCGGACUACUAAGUCAGGGGUGAAAUCCCGGGGCUCAACCCCGGAACUGCCUUUGAUACUGAUAGUCUCGAGUCCGGAAGAGGUGAGUGGAAUUCCGAGUGUAGAGGUGAAAUUCGUAGAUAUUCGGAGGAACACCAGUGGCGAAGGCGGCUCACUGGUCCGGUACUGACGCUGAGGUGCGAAAGCGUGGGGAGCAAACAGG